rnacentral:lncRNA from 1 species
UACACAUAAAAAAUAAUAUUUAUUCUGGUUUCCUUACGUAAAUGAUCUAUCUUGAGACAACAGGCCAAAUACUUUCUUUCCAGGGCAGACCAAUUAACAGUAAGUUUUCUUAGUCCUCAGGUGUCUUGUUUCUUCUGUCUUAGAAGUCAUGGAUGUCAAUGAAGAUAUGGAAUUCACUUCUUCGUUCUUAUAAAUAUUGCUUAGUUUCCUUGUGCCUGGCACUGUGGUUGGUCACUGCGACCUACUGUUCAAAAGCAAGAUAACAUACAGGCUGGAACAGCGAGAUGCAAAAAUCCCGAGCCUUCAAAGCCAGCUCCUGCAGAAGAGAGAGGGCCUAGCAGCUGAGCUGGAUGCUUCAGGAGCAGAGGAUCUAUCAACUGCAGACCAAGCAUAGGGAGACGCAGGCAAACCUGGAACAGUAACCCAGCCAGCUCCAAUUGCUCCCACAGUACUUGGUGGCCAGACAGUCAGCAGCAGAAAGCGUGCCCCGGGCCAUGAAGCAGGAAAUCGACUCUGACUUAAUCCUUGAGGUCAGGCAGAGAAAACAAAAGCUCAGCUGGAAGAGACUGAAAUGGAGGCACCUACUUUCAAGCCCAGACUUUAAGAGAGCUUUCGGUUCGAUACUUGGCA